rnacentral:lncRNA from 1 species
GUGACCUCAUGCUUCCCCACCCCCAUUUGUGAAGUUCCAUCACAGGAAGUUCUUCUCCAGUGGCCCCUGAUCCAGGGAGACCCACCCUGCAACAGCCCUUGUCUCCCUCCGCCCUUGGUUCCUUCUCACCCAUCUCACCACCAUCUGCCCAGGGGAGCCACAUGUCCCAAAUUUUGGAGAGAAAAUAAUUGAGGCUCAUUUCCAGGACAGAGGGGCAAGCUGGGUCUAAAGAGCCAAGCAGAAAGGCUUCCCAAAAUCGCUAGGUUGGGAGGGGUCAGAGACGUGUGGCUGCCCCAGCUGUUCUGACUCUGCCCCAGCUUUUGGCUCCACCCCCUUAAAGCACCUUCAGAGGUUCCCAUGGCGACAGUAAACAAGUCUCCACUGCCUUGGCCAUGUGCUGUGUUCACCCCACUCCUGAUCUUGUUGGCUGCUCAGGGGCUGACAGCCCAGAUGUGCAGCUGUGAUGAGCAGAAACAGGGAGGAAUGGAGCCCCCAGCCAUUGUCAUCACUUCCUCAAGCUGUCUAAAUUCUGCCCAGCAGUCUGUGAAAAUGUUGUGCUGAUGACAUAUUAAGUCAUGUAUCCGUUAAAAGAAUAUCUGGAAACCUCCAAAAGGAAGCCAAGCAUAGACUAUUUGGAAGAACUUGAAGGAGCGAGAGCUGACCCCAUCUUUGUACACUGGCAGCACAAGGACAACAAUCAACACGGAAGACUUCUGUGACCAAAUGUGUGCACGUUUCUCUCCAUACACCAAGCAAGCAAUCUAUUCUGCAGCAGACACCAACUGGAAGUCCUCCAAUUCAAUUCAAUUCUGACACUGUCUACCUGGAAAUGGCCUCAGCAACCACAGGUUGAGAGCUCAGUCCCACAAGAACACCUCCUCCUUCCAACCAGUUGAAACUCCACACCUCCAGAACUUCUCACUGACUGGCUUCGAGUUGAGAAUGGCAGAUGAAAAAAAACCAAGUCACUGAAACACUGAAACUCCCUCUGCUUUUGAGGUAAAAGAACUGCCUAACAUUGGUUGGGACCAAGAUGGCCUACUAGAACAAGCUUGCUGAAACUGCAGCCUGGAUUUCCACUGCUUGUUUCAUACUAACUUCUCCCAAAUUUGCACAUAUGACUCAUAAGGUAGCAUGAAGAGAUAACUGCACAUGCCUGAGGACUUUUCAGACUCUGCUUACCUUCCACCAAUCACCUGCUAACCCCAGUAUCCACCCCAUAAAACUUUUCUAAAAACUGCCUUGGAGCCAACACAGGAGACAGAUGAGCUUGACUCCUGUCUUCUUGGUUGUUGAAUUUCAGUGUAAGGCUUUUAUUUUCUCAAAACCCAUUGUCCUAGUAUUGCCUUCUAGUGCAUCAGGCAGUGAGCCCCUUUUGCUCCAUAACACUGUUUCCUUCCUACGAGCAAUGUCAUUUACCCACAUUGGGCUCUGCUGUCUUCAAAGGUUCUCCAUUUGUACAUUCACUUUCUGAUUUUUCAAAGUUCCAUGGCAUCUGUUUCUUCUAAUGGUUAAGAGUGGCCAGCAAGACACCUUGUCAUGAAGAUGUUUUGUACACCAGCCUGGGGGCCAGGGUAAAUUCUGCCAAGACAUCAGCCGUGUUUUUCAGGCUUCUCUCUGCAAGCCUCAAAGAAUGUGCAAACCACAGCAUGUUUGUGGUAGCCUCACAUACUGAUCCUACAGCACUUAUGUCCUCCUCACUCUUCAUUUUGAAGAAGGUUAUCUUCAAAAUGACCUUGCUGUGAAGCUCUGUUAGCUCUGAUAGGGCGCAUUUCUCAUUGACAUAGUGAUUCAGAAAAUGCAAGCAGCAUAUCAAUGACUGUCAUCUGGACUUCCAUACCGAUGGGACAUAUAGGGGAGGAUUGACAGGUAGGCUAAAAAUGCUGGGUAGAGAAGCUGGUGCCAGGAGAAAUUUUUGGAAAUUGAGUGGAGGAUCUAAAAUCCUUGCAGCCAGGAACUAAGAAAACUGGGGUUGGGACGUGGGGAGAGGGAAGCUGUAGACUAUAGACUGUAGUCAGAGGCUGAGACUCAGGGCAGGAUGCAGGUGAGAGUGGAGAGGCUUUCCUUAGGAGAGGACCAUGGGAAAUAAGUCUCCAUGAAAGGGCCUUGGAGCAGGAGCCAGAACCCAAUCAUCACCAUCCCUUCACCCCAUCCCUUCAAGCCCAG